CAGGCAGGCCAAGUUGGCGCCUUGGCGUCAUCAUAAUUUAAAUCGAGCCACGCGCACCGAGCGGAGGUCGGCGGUCCUUCUGCCGCAUAUAAAAUCACUCUUUACCUGUUGAUCGGUUGGGAUUCAAAUUGGGAACGGGAACGGGAACGGAAUCGGGAUUGGAUUGGAUCCGUGCCUGCGGAUAGGGCGCCUGGCGGAAGGUUAUGACAAUUUUACACGCUAAUUGGGCACCAAACAUUUUGAAUUUAUGGAAAUUUUAUUACACUCUAGAACAGAGUAAGGGUUGUAAAGGAAAUGGUUAUUGGAAUGCUUUUACCAAGGACAACAUCCGCCUAAUAUCGAUGACUAUAGUGCUGUUAAGUGGAAAUAUGCUUAAAAAUUAUAGUAAUAUCUAAAUACGUGUGGUAAUUAAAAUGUAUAGCAGAUUAAAUUAUGACACAAAUAACUGAAUGAAUUAUAAAGAGCACUGAAAUAUGCAAUAUAAAGUAUAAAAUUCA